rnacentral:misc_RNA from 1 species
GUUGGCCUGAUGGCAGAGAAGAAAAUAUCAAAGAAUUAUCAUCAGGCAUGGCCCUUGAGGUAGAACUAGAAAAUGACAUUGCAUGUCGUCUUGGGGACACUGGAUUAGAAGUUCUUGUUGGAGACACUGAAGAUGAAAAACUAGGAGGAGAACCUGGAGCAGUAAGAUGGGGAGUGCUUGUUUGAGAUGCUAGGAGAAUACCGUGUGAUAUGCCAGGUCUCGCCACAUCUGUUUCACGAUCCUCUGCAAAUGAGUUUCCCACAUCUGAGAAAUGGCUAUGCAUAGAAGAUGAUCUUGAAGGUGUCAAGGUGACAUCAUCUUCACUUGGCGUUGGCUUGGCAAUGAUAUGCAGAACUCCUGAAGAAUUUUGUUCAUCCUCUUGAAGUGAUUGCAUGAGAGUCUUCCUGAACACCUCCAACUUGGAAACACCUCUUUGGAGCUUCUUUAGAGUGUUAGAUAGUGAAGCGUUCUCUUUCAACAAGUUCUCCUUUUCGAGAGCAGUCAGGGUAAGUUUA